UGGGGAAUAUUGCACAAUGGGCGCAAGCCUGAUGCAGCAACGCCGCGUGAACGAUGAAGGUUUUCGGAUCGCAAAGUUCUGUUGCAGGGGAAGAUCAUGACGGUACCCUGUGAGGAAGCCCCGGCUAACUACGUGCCAGCAGCCGCGGUAAUACGUAGGGGGCUAGCGUUAUCCGGAUUUACUGGGCGUAAAGGGUGCGUAGGUGGUCCUUCAAGUCGGUGGUUAAAGGUUACGGCUCAACCGUAGUAAGCCGCCGAAACUGGAGGACUUGAGGGCAGGAGAGGAAAGUGGAAUUCCCAGUGUAGCGGUGAAAUGCGUAGAUAUGAGGAGGAACACCAGUGGCGAAGGCAACUUUCUGGACUGCAAAUGAUACUGCGGCACGAAAGCGUGGGUAGCAAACAGG
rnacentral:rRNA from 1 species